UACCUACUCUGAAUCCAGAGAACUUAGAGAGAUGCUUUGGUGCCUUCGGGAACUCUGAGACAGGUGCUGCAUGGCGUGUCAGCUCGUGUUGUGAAAUGUUGGGUUAAGUCCCGCAACGAGCGCAACCCUUAUCCUUUGUUGCAGCGGUUCGGCCGGGAACUCAAAGGAGACUGCCAGUGAUAAACUGGAGGAAGGUGGGGAUGACGUCAAGUCAUCAUGGCCCUUACGAGUAGGGCUACACACGUGCUACAAUGGCAUAUACAAAGAGAAGCGACCUCGCGAGAGCAAGCGGACCUCAUAAAGUAUGUCGUAGUCCGGAUUGGAGUCUGCAACUCGACUCCAUGAAGUCGGAAUCGCUAGUAAUCGUGGAUCAGAUGCCACGUA
rnacentral:rRNA from 1 species